rnacentral:rRNA from 1 species
UACGUAGGGUGCGAGCGUUAAUCGGAAUUACUGGGCGUAAAGCGUGCGCAGGCGGUUUUGUAAGCCAGAUGUGAAAUCCCCGGGCUUAACCUGGGAAUGGCAUUUGGGACUGCAAGGCUUGAGUGCGGCAGAGGAGACUGGAAUUCCCGGUGUAGUGGUGAAAUGCGUAGAUAUCGGGAGGAACACCAGUGGCGAAGGCGGUUAGCUGGCCUGUAACUGACACUGAGGCGCGAAGGCUAGGGGAGCGAACAGG